UCUUAUGGAAAAACAAAGAAAUUGGUUUCUUGAGAUAGAAUCCACUUCUAGUGUAGAUGCUGUGAA
rnacentral:pre_miRNA from 2 species